AUUGAACGCUGGCGGCAGGCCUAACACAUGCAAGUCGAGCGAGCGACGGGCGGGUGAGUAAGGUCUGGGAGACUACUUGCCGGAGCGGGAUAAAUACUGGAUACAAACGCUAAUACAGCCUAUCAUCAGAUGGGCACAGAUGGGAUUAGCUAGUAGGUGGGGUAAUGGCUCACCUAGGCGACGAACCCUAGCUGGUCUGAGAGGAUGACCAGCCACACUGGAACUGAGACACGGUCCAGACUCCUACGGGAGGCAGCAGUGGGGAAUAUUGCACAAUGGGCGAAAGCCUGAUGCAGCCAUGCCGCGUGUGUGAAGAAGGCCUUCGGGUUGUAAAGCACUUUCAGCGGGGAGGCGUUACCCGCAGAAGAAGCACCGGCUAACUCCGUGCCAGCAGCCGCGGUAAUAC
rnacentral:rRNA from 1 species